rnacentral:lncRNA from 12 species
ACCAGAAAGCUCAGACAUGAGUUAGUGGGAGAGACAGCCGCUGUGUCCCCAUUCCUGUCUUUCCCAUGACUCCUCUCUGGACAAAGACCUUCACUCAGUUCAAGACCUGCUGACCCCACCAUAGUCCACCAUGGAUACUGAGAUACCUAUGGCUCUGUGGAGGCUCAAGUUGGGUCCACUGCUUUAAACACAUCCCCAGCUAGAGAUGUGGUCAGCACUGAGCUGGGAACCAUGACGGAUACCAUGAUAGAUCAGACCCUCACUGAAGGAAUGAAAUGUGUUGGCCAACAUGAGAAUCAGGGGGGAGAUUGCAAUGAGCCAAGAGAGACACAGCAACCAGUGUGUGGGAAAAUUCAAGCUCUCCUAGAACCCAAGUCAACAUCCGCCUCAUAAAAGAAGUUCUGAAGGUAACUC